rnacentral:rRNA from 1 species
GUUUACAGCCAUAACACCAUGAAGGUGCCUGAUCUCAUCUUAUCUUGGAAGCUAAGCAGGGCCGAGCCUGGUUAGUACUUGGAUAGGAGACAGCCUGGGAAUAGCAGGUGCUGAGGCU